rfam:Clostridium botulinum A str. ATCC 3502 complete genome
AGUACCUUUAAAAUUAGUCCAGAGAGACUAAUAAGGUCGUAUAGAUUUAUAGGCUUAAAUUACCAAUUUAUAAGUUUAUGAUUGAUAUAGUGAUUUUUACGACCUUUUAUAGAAAUAUAAAAGGUCUUUUUUAU